CCUACGGGCGGGCCUCGGCAGGGAGGGCCUCGGCCCUGCCGGUUCUUGGAAACACUUGUCGGUAUUGCAGACCUUGUCGUGUGCCCGCCCACCCU
rnacentral:antisense_RNA from 1 species